rnacentral:rRNA from 1 species
UACGUAGGGUGCGAGCGUUAAUCGGAAUUAUUGGGCGUAAAGCGCGCGUAGGCGGCCGCUUAAGUCGGAUGUGAAAGCCCCUGGCUCAACUGGGGAAGUGCACCCGAAACUGAGUGGCUUGAGUACUAAAGAGGGUCGCGGAAUUCCCGGUGUAGAGGUGAAAUUCGUAGAUAUCGGGAGGAACACCGGUGGCGAAGGCGGCGACCUGGGUAGAUACUGACGCUGAGGCGCGAAAGCGUGGGGAGCAAACAGG